rnacentral:rRNA from 1 species
CACGGGGUUGCGAGCGUUGUCCGGAAUUACUAGGCGUAAAGGGCAGGCAGGCGGAUCCAUAAGUUUAUCGUUUAAGGCGUCGGCUUAACCGGCGUAGGGCGGUAGAUACUGUGGAUCUGGAAUGCGGUUGGGGAAGACAGAAUUCCUGGUGUAGCGGUGGAAUGCGCAGAGAUCAGGAGGAAUACCGAAGGCGAAGGCAGUCAUCCAAGCCGUUAUUGACGCUCAACUGCGAAGGUGUGGGUAUCAAACAGGAUUAGAUACCCUGGUAGUCCCU